UACAGAGGUCCCAAGCGUUGUUCGGAUUCACUGGGCGUAAAGGGUGCGUAGGUGGUGAGGUAAGUCGGAUGUGAAAUCUCGGAGCUCAACUCCGAAAUGGCAUUGGAAACUACCUCGCUAGAGGAUCGGAGGGAGACUGGAAUUCUCGGUGUAGCAGUGAAAUGCGUAGAUAUCGAGAGGAACACCAGUGGCGAAGGCGAGUCUCUGGACGAUUCCUGACGCUGAGGCACGAAAGCCAGGGAGCAAACGGG
rnacentral:rRNA from 1 species